UGAGCUCGAUGAGUAGGGCGGGACACGUGAUAUCCUGUCUGAAUAUGGGGGGACCAUCCUCCAAGGCUAAAUACUCCUGACUGACCGAUAGUGAACCAGUACCGUGAGGGAAAGGCGAAAAGAACCCCGGCGAGGGGAGUGAAAAAGAACCUGAAACCGUGUACGUACAAGCAGUGGGAGCACCCUUCGGGGUGUGACUGCGUACCUUUUGUAUAAUGGGUCAGCGACUUAUAUUCUGUAGCAAGGUUAACCGAAUAGGGGAGCCGGAGGGAAACCGAGUCUUAACCGGGCGUUAAGUUGCAGGGUAUAGACCCGAAACCCGGUGAUCUAGCCAUGGGCAGGUUGAAGGUUGGGUAACACUAACUGGAGGACCGAACCGACUAAUGUUGAAAAAUUAGCGGAUGACCUGUGGCUGGGGGUGAAAGGCCAAUCAAACCGGGAGAUAGCUGGUUCUCCCCGAAAGCUAUUUAGGUAGCGCCUCGUGAAUUCAUCUCCGGGGGUAGAGCACUGUUUCGGCUAGGGGGCCAUCCCGGCUUACCAACCCGAUGCAAACUGCGAAUACCGGAGAAUGUUAUCACGGGAGACACACGGCGGGUGCUAACGUCCGUCGUGAAGAGGGAAACAACCCAGACCGCCAGCUAAGGUCCCAAAGUCAUGGUUAAGUGGGAAACGAUGUGGGAAGGCCCAGACAGCCAGGAUGUUGGCUUAGAAGCAGCCAUCAUUUAAAGAAAGCGUAAUAGCUCACUGGUCGAGUCGGCCUGCGCGGAAGAUGUAACGGGGCUAAACCAU
rnacentral:rRNA from 1 species